rnacentral:rRNA from 1 species
AAAUUGAAGAGUUUGAUCAUGGCUCAGAUUGAACGCUGGCGGCAGGCCUAACACAUGCAAGUCGAGCGGUAACAGGAAGAAAGCUUGCUUUCUUUGCUGACGAGCGGCGGACGGGUGAGUAAUGCCUGGGAAAUUGCCCUGAUGUGGGGGAUAACCAUUGGAAACGAUGGCUAAUACCGCAUGAUGCCUACGGGCCAAAGAGGGGGACCUUCGGGCCUCUCGCGUCAGGAUAUGCCCAGGUGGGAUUAGCUAGUUGGUGAGGUAAUGGCUCACCAAGGCGACGAUCCCUAGCUGGUCUGAGAGGAUGAUCAGCCACACUGGAACUGAGACACGGUCCAGACUCCUACGGGAGGCAGCAGUGGGGAAUAUUGCACAAUGGGCGCAAGCCUGAUGCAGCCAUGCCGCGUGUAUGAAGAAGGCCUUCGGGUUGUAAAGUACUUUCAGUCGUGAGGAAGGGGGUAUCGUUAAUAGCGGUAUUCUUUGACGUUAGCGACAGAAGAAGCACCGGCUAACUCCGUGCCAGCAGCCGCGGUAAUACGGAGGGUGCGAGCGUUAAUCGGAAUUACUGGGCGUAAAGCGCAUGCA